rnacentral:rRNA from 1 species
UGAGGAAUAUUGGGCAAUGGGCGCAAGCCUGACCCAGCCAUGCCGCGUGAAGGAUGAAUGCCCUAUGGGUUGUAAACUUCUUUUUUACGGGAAGAAACUCUUGAACGUGUUCGGGAUUGACGGUACCGUAUGAAUAAGCAUCGGCUAACUCCGUGCCAGCAGCCGCGGUAAUACGGAGGAUGCAAGCGUUAUCCGGAUUUAUUGGGUUUAAAGGGUGCGUAGGCGGGAUAAUAAGUCAGUGGUGAAAGCCUGUAGCUUAACUAUAGAAUUGCCAUUGAUACUGUUGUUCUUGAGUACAGUUGAGGUAGGCGGAAUGUGUAAUGUAGCGGUGAAAUGCUUAGAUAUUACACAGAACACCGAUUGCGAAGGCAGCUUACUAAGCUGGUACUGACGCUGAGGCACGAAAGCGUGGGGAGCAAACAG